UUCCAUACUUGCUCAUGGUAACAUACAACCAAACUUUGAAAACGUUGUAUCCGAGGUAUGACAUCGUCGUGACCCAAAAUUACAGCACGUAAUUUCCACGUAGACUGACAUAGUUACAAUUGCUUGGUUCUUAAAGUCCAAUCGUGGUAACCUUCAUGACGCUAACCACUUAGCUUAGCUAGAACAAAGAUCAGUUGCUAUGAGGACAACUUGAGGACAAAUCGUGAUUCUAAUUUUCCGUGGAUCAGGAUCACGAUAUUUCCCUUCCAUAUCGACUAAUUUUCGGUAUAAAUACUGCGCUGUUUUCCUCAGUCAUCAUCGUCAGUUCAACUUGCCAACUGAAGUCAAUCCAACAAUCAAUCCAAGAUGAUGAAAUUCUUGAUCUUCGCCUUCUUCGUAGCCUUCGCUGUGGCCACUGCUUUUGCUGCUCCUGAACCCAACCCAGCUCCUCGUCCCAUGCCAGCACCUCUUCCAUACCCUCAGCAUGGAUAUUACCCACCCACUUACUAUUAUUCAUACUACUAAUUCAACAAAUGCAAUAUCAACGAAAAUGGACCCAACAAGAUUUUGCAAAGCUACAAUUUUCUUCUAAAAUUUCGGAAUCCCUAAAAUAUACAGAAUAGCAGCAAAA